rnacentral:rRNA from 1 species
GGAGGGUGCAAGCGUUAUCCGGAUUCACUGGGUUUAAAGGGUGCGUAGGUGGGCAGGUAAGUCCGCGGUGAAAUCCCCGAGCUUAACUUGGGAACUGCCGUUGAUACUAUCUGUCUUGAAUAUCGUGGAGGUAAGCGGAAUAUGUCAUGUAGCGGUGAAAUGCUUAGAGAUGACAUAGAACACCAAUUGCGAAGGCAGCUUGCUACACGAUAAUUGACACUGAGGCACGAAAGCGUGGGGAGCAAACGGGAUUAGAUACCCCGGUAGUCCACGCCCUAAACGAUGAGAGCUGGGUGUUGGUGGGAUUUCCCAUCUGUGCCGAAGCUAACGCGUUAAGCUCUCCGCCUGGGGACUACGAACGCAAGUUUA